CACGGAGACAGAGUGAAAUCCAUAGAAACGUGAGAAGUAGAUUAAAUACAAAUACAUGCUGUCUUCAUGUUGUCAUAUCUGCAUAUUGUAUUAAGUAACUGUAUGUGUUGUUGGGGCUGUGGUCCAGACUUUGGAAAUAGUAACUCAUGUUUUAAGGUUUUAUUAUAAAAUAUGAAGGUUGAAAUGUGUUUCAAACCCUUUCUACAGUGCUUGGAUUGUAAACUCCACAGUAUUAAAAGUUGUUUGCUUGUCGUCUUGUGGUCAGACUUUAUUUUGGGUUUGUAACACUGUAACAUUAGUAAUAGGUUCAUAUUGUCAUAUUGCCACCAUGUGGUAUUACUAAUCUGAGAGUUUGAAAAGUUUGCUCUACAUUUUCAGGACAUUACAAGGUUUAUUUAAAAGGUACACACGUCUGUGUGACUGUGUGAUUGCAUUGAGGGUGGUACGAGGUGAAAUGCUGCCCUCUAUCUUUGUGGAAUGCGGCCAAGAAUGAUUUUAUACUCGACUCCGGCAGCAGGGCUGUGCUGCGCUCUUCUGAGGCUGAAAGAGACAACGGCUGCAGGUCAGGGAUCAGCAUGGAGGGUUGCCGUGGGUGACCAGGAACUCCAGCAUUUUAUUCAUGGCACCCAUGAAGAAGAUCAGCCUCAGCUGGGUCAUUGCCAUGGUGAUAAGACUCCACAG